rnacentral:rRNA from 1 species
CAAAAACAUCGCCUCCCGCAAAUAUCAAAGUAUGGGAGGUCUUACCUGCCCAGUGACAACAAGUUAAACGGCCGCGGUAUUUUGACCGUGCUAAGGUAGCGCAAUCACUUGUUUUUUAAAUGAAGACCUGUAUGAAUGGUGAAACGAGGGCUUUACUGUCUCCCCUUUCAAGUCAAUGAAAUUGAUCUGCCCGUGCAGAAGCGGACAUUCUAAUACAAGACGAGAAGACCCUUUGGAGCUUAAGACAAAAAAUCAACUGUGUCCAUCCCUUUUACUAAAAAAGAUAAAACAUAACAGCAACUGAUCUAUGUCUUCGGUUGGGGCGACCACGGGGGAAAACAAAGCCCCCAUGUGGAAUGGGAUAAAUCCUAAAACUAAGAGACACAUCUCUAAGUCGCAGAACAUCUGGCCAUAUCUGAUCCGGCCACCUGGCUGAUUAACGGACCAAGUUACCCUAGGGAUAACAGCGCAAUCCCCUCCAAGAGUCCCUAUCGACGAGAGGGUUUACGACCUCGAUGUUGGAUCAGGACAUCCUAAUGGUGCAGCCGCUAUUAAGGGUUUGUUUGUUCAACAAUUAAAGUCCUACGUGAUCUGAG